AAUAUGGAGUCACAGACCCAAAUCCUAAUUUCAUUGCUGCUCUGGGUGUCUGCAGGUGUCUGUGCAGAUAUCACAAUGACCCAGUCUCCAUCUUCCUUGGCUGUGUCAGUAGGAGAGAAGAUCACUAUCAGCUGCAGGGCCAGUCAGAGUCUUUACAACAGUAAUACCAAUAAGAACUACUUGAACUGGUACCAGCAGAAACCAGGGCAGUCUCCUAAACUACUAAUCUACUAUGCAUCCACUCGGCACACUGGGGUCCCUGAUCGCUUCAUAGGCAGUGGGUCUGAGACAGAUUUUGCUCUCACCAUCAGCAGUGUCCAGGCUGAAGACCUGGCAGAUUAUUACUGCCAGCAGUCGUACAGCUAUCCUCCCACAGUGCUUCAGCCUCCAACAAAAACCUCUUCUGAGAGUCUCACCAUCUGCCUUCAUCAUGCACAGCCCUGGUCCUUUACACUUCCCCCUUCUGCCUUAGAGUCAGUGUUUCUGAAACUCUGA